CUACUCCAAUCUAAAUGAUUUUUUUUCAAGAUUCUUGAUCUUUUAGAUUUUGCUAUUUUGUUGUACACGGUCGUUUAGAUUUGGUUACCAAAUGAAAACGCGUAAAAGAAAAAAAGAAGAAAGACGAUGGAAAGAAAUCGCAGCAAAGUAGAAAGACGAUGGAAAGAAAUCGAAACGAAAAAAAAACGAAGAAGAAAAGAAGAAAAACGAUGGAAAGAUUAAAUGACGUAAAUAAAGAAUUGAACAAUAAGAAAGAUGAUGGAAAGAAAUCGCAGAAAAGAAGAAAGAUGAAAUCGCAGGAGAAGACGAGAAGACGAAAUAACAGGAGGAAGACGAAUCGCGAGGAAGAAUAGAAAGAUUGAAGGGCCAAUCUGGAAUAUUUAAAAAAUGGCAAACCUUGUCGCCUUUGUUACACGGGCCGUAAAUAGUUUACAACUUUGUUACAUUUAUGUAAGUUUCCCUUAAAAAAAAGUUACCAAAUACAUGUUAUUUUCUUUUCAAGAGUCUUAAAAAAAGGUUUAAAAGAAAAUGCAUUUUUCAAAUCCAAUUUUUUUAAAAAUACCAUUCCAAUAAUAUCCUUCUCAUUGGAGAAACAUUUAUAAAUAAGUUUGGGUUAGAUGUUUGAGAAAAAACAAUUAUCUUAAGUUGUCAAACUCAACAGUGGUGCAUGCAAUCCCCUAUCUUUUUCUUCUUUGUGUGAGACCCUAUCGUUGCACUUCACCAAAAAGGAAUAGUAAGUUGAGAAGCUUUCACGCCUAGAUAGAUCGCUUAGACAGAACAUGUAUAUCCUUGCCUUGUAUCUCGUCUAAGAUACCGAUAUCUUGCCUGAUCAGGUCGCCUACUGAUUACCUCGCCAAUUGAUCUCGCCUAUUGGUCACCUUGCCAAUUGAUGAGAACUCCAACUGAUCAAGAUGCCUAGUGAUCAAAACGCCUGGUUAAAAGCGCCUGGUUAAAACACAAUCUGCAAAACAAAAACUGAAACGAAGCACAUGAUGUUCUUGGAGUCUUGGAAGAAAGUUUGUAUCUUCAAAUGAGCUUCAAUCUUUGAGGGUGUUCUUGAAAUUGGAGUCUUUGAAAAAAGCUUGUAUCUUUAAAGGAGCUUCAAUCUUUGAGAAUGUUCUUGAAGUUGGAAUAUGGAAGAUGAGGAUGUUCUUGAAGUUGAAGUAUGGAAGAAAGCUUGUAUAUUCAAAGGAGGAGGUGUUCUUGAAGUCAAGUUGGAAGUUCGUCUUCAGGAGUUGAGGAGUGUUCUAUCUCUAGGUACAAUUCUCUCUAGACUGUAUGAAGUCAAAAAAAAUUUCUCCCCACAAAAUGAAAGAAAGAACUCUCUAUUUAUAGAGUUCGCUGGUGGCCUUUACUUGAGCCUAGUCUGGUUUAUGGACCAUAGGCAUGAGCUCAAUCACAUGUAUUUGUGUCAUAUUUAAUUUUAGACUAAAUUAAGCUUAUUUUUUUGGCUUAAUUGAAUUUUA